UACGUAGGGUGCAAGCGUUAAUCGGAAUUACUGGGCGUAAAGCGUGCGCAGGCGGUUGUGCAAGACCGAUGUGAAAUCCCCCGGGCUUAACCUGGGAAUGGCAUUGGUGACUGCACGGCUAGAGUGUGUCAGAGGGGGGUAGAAUUCCACGUGUAGCAGUGAAAUGCGUAGAUAUGUGGAGGAAUACCGAUGGCGAAGGCAGCCCCCCUGGGAUAACACUGACGCUCAUGCACGAAAGCGUGGGGAGCAAACAGG
rnacentral:rRNA from 1 species